AGAGUUUGAUCAUGGCUCAGAUUGAACGCUGGCGGCAGGCCUAACACAUGCAAGUCGAGCGGUAACNNAGAGUAGCUUGCUCCUCUGGCGNCGAGCGGCGGACGGGUGAGUAAUGCUUGGGAAUAUGCCUUAUGGUGGGGGACAACAGUUGGAAACGACUGCUAAUACCGCAUGAUGUCUACGGACCAAAGUGGGGGACCUUCGGGCCUCACGCCAUAAGAUUAGCCCAAGUGGGAUUAGCUAGUUGGUGAGGUAAUGGCUCACCAAGGCGACGAUCCCUAGCUGGUUUGAGAGGAUGAUCAGCCACACUGGGACUGAGACACGGCCCAGACUCCUACGGGAGGCAGCAGUGGGGAAUAUUGCACAAUGGGCGCAAGCCUGAUGCAGCCAUGCCGCGUGUGUGAAGAAGGCCUUCGGGUUGUAAAGCACUUUCAGUAAGGAGGAAAGGUUAAGUGUUAAUAGCACUUAGU
rnacentral:rRNA from 1 species